ACUACACCAGAGGAGACAAAGGAAGCACGUUGCUGUUAUUGCUGUUCAUGGCCUUCUUCCAACAGUAAGGGAAGCUAGUUUGAAGAUAAACUGUACAAAGGAAAGUAAAACAAGAGAAGUGCAGCGAAAUGGUGCCGGAGCCGUGAUACAGCUACAACGUAGAGUUCUCACAGUCUCUUAAUUUCCUGCUGUCGGCGAUAAAUGUGAUCAUUUUGGCCGAUUUGGUUCAGUUUUUCUGUUCCGUGAAGCUGAAAGCAUCCUGACACAGGUAGCUGGACAGUACUGGACCCAUCACAAUUUCAAUACUGGGAAGAGAAAAGCCAGUCCUAUGGGGAAAGAUGAAGCACUGGACCUACAAACUAACUACUUUCAACCCCUGGAUGAAUCUAGGAGAAUAGUCCCGAUAUCAAGGCAAUGUCAAGAGUGAAGGGGAGGAUCAAGAUUUUUUUUGAGUGAUUGUUUCUUGGAAGGUAAGUUAGAUACAGCAAAGAUUGAAACAGGACUCAUUUUGUAGUGGGGAGUUUUGGAUGCAAAAGAGAAUAACUAUAUGGAAGUCUAAAACAGAUGCUAAAGUUACUACAUAUUGCAAGGCAUUUAUUGAAGAAAGACUUGAGAUUGUGACCUUGAGUAGUGGCUUUGCCCAGAAUAGGCACUAAGGCCAGGUGGUACCUGCUACUAAAAAUUGGAAUCUUGUUAUUGCUCCUUUUGCUCAGAUCUAAAUGCCUGAGCCAGCACCGUUAUGCUACACAUUUACUUCUCAGUUUCCUAAACAAGGAUGACAAGUCUAAUUUUAUUAUCCUUACUCUAGCAAAAUACCCAGUGUCAUCUGUAAGGACAAUAUGAUCAAGUCCUUUGGCUGAAGAAUGUAUUUCCUCAGCCAUAAUGUCCCCUAGGCUUCUAAAUAAAACAGAUAUUCAAACUUUACUUUUAGAAAAAAAAUCACUAUGCUGCAUUUCUAAAAAUAAGUUUUGUUCAGAAAGAGCUUCUGUAAUGCUAGAAGGAAGCAUUCUAGCUGAAGUCUAUAGACAGUGGCUGUGGAAUCUCCUAAUUGAUGUAUGGUCAACAGCCUGACAUUAACUGUAGUCAUGGGUAAAAUGAAGCUAAAGGGUAAAUGAUCUGAAGCCUAGUGAGGAAAGACCAAGAGCAGCAGUGAUUGAAGUUCUAUGGGUCUUCUGGGUCAGACACAAAUGCCUGCAGGGUCCAGGUUGGCAAUGCAUAUUUGUAAGAAGCAGUGGGUAUAAUAAAACAUGCAGCCUUAGGGACUAUGACAUGUCAAGCACACACAUCUGGGGGCUAAAAUUCGCAUAUGAACCACUAGUUUGUGAUUCCAUGCCAAAAAGGUCCUGUAAGUGUUUUCCAAAAAUUUUCCCAGUGUUAUGUGAAAGAGCCAACAUAUAGUUGAGUCUGUCACCUCUUAUGAUCAUUGUGAUUGAGACCAUCUCUAUGCGAGAUACAAGGAACAUCAUCCAUUACCACAGAAGAACCCAUGCCCUUCUGGGCCAAGAAAACUCUUAUUAAAAUACUAUCUUGGUAAAAAAUUUUAAGGCUAAAAUCGAGGGAGAAGAUUUUUAUUAACCAAAAAAAGAAAAUAAGAUAUUUAAACUAAAUGCUUCAUAGAUUACAAGAUCUAAGGUGAAAGAAAAUUUUGGAGAUAAAAGGAAUGGAAUCAAGGUAAUAGGGCUAUGUUUUCUGCUACAAACCAAAUCGAGAAAAUGUAUGAUUUUUUUGAUGACUCAUUGAGAGAAUGCUUUUAUCACGUGGCAAGGAGAAAAACUCUUUCGGAAGGAAUAAGACCAUUCUGUCCUAAUCAAAACAUGAGAAAAUAGUUGAAAAUAACAUUCUUCUUCUUCCUUUGGAAACUCAGUUGUCUACUCAGUUGGAAGAAGUCUUUUCUUAAGAUCAAGAGAAGAAGGCUCUUCUGUGUUGUGAUUCUUUUAAUGUUCCAACAAACAAUAAAAGACAUGCACACAUAAAGCUUAACUAAUUGAUAUCUUUCAGGAGUAUUAAAGAGAGGCACAGAAGAAUGCUUCUGCACAGGACAUGAAAACAUACUUGGUAAUCAGGGAUCAUGUGGUAGCAGCCACACUGUUUAAGAUCAUGGAUCAGAAAUGUCUUUAAGAUGUCAAACAAAUGAAAAACAAAAACAAACAUUUCAUGCUCAUGGACAGGAAAAUCAAUAUUGUUAAAAUGGCCAUACUCCCCAAAGCAAUUUAUACAUUCAGUGCUAUUCCUACCAAUGGCAUUUCUCACGGAAUUAGGAAACACAGUUUUAAAAUUCAUAUGGUACCAAACAAGAGCCUGAAUAACCAAAGCAAUCCUAAGCAAAAAGAAGAAAGCUGAAAGUAUCACACUACCCAACUUCAAGCUAUACUACAAGGCUACAGUAACCAAAACAGCAUGGUACUGUUACAGAACUAGACACAUAGACCAAUGGAACAGAAUAGGGAAUGAACUCCCUAUUCAAUAAAUGGUGCUGGGUAACUGGCUACCCAUACACAGAAGACAGAAAUUGAAUUCCUUCCUUUCACCAUACACAAAAGUCAACUCAAGAUGGAUUAAAGACUUAAAUAUAACAUCUAAAACUAUUUAGAAAAACCUACAGGAAUACCUAGAAAAUACCAUUCUGGACAGAGACCCUGGCAAAAAUUUUAUGACAAAGACUCCAAAAGCAAUUGCAACAAAAACAAAAGUUGACAAGUGGGACCUAAUUAAAAGAGUUUUUGCACAGAAAAAGAAACUACCAACAGAAUAGACAGAC